rnacentral:lncRNA from 1 species
CUUCCUUUAAAAUUUUGAACACUCCUCGAAGUACAAACUCCAACAUCCCUCAUGUUCCGAUAGCGUUCCUCCUCUAAAGACUAUCAACAAACUUAUCUAAAUUCAUUUGUAAAUGAUAAAUUUAAGAUUUGGACAUCAACUUUUCUUUGAAAUUUCGAACGCUUCUCGAAGUACAAACUCCGACAUCCCUCAUGUUCCGAUAGUGUUCCUCCUCAAAAGACUAUCAACAAACUGCAUAAUUAUUAGAUGAUAAAAGAGAAAGGGAAAAAAAAAAGGUCAAUGAGAGUGGCUAUUAUAAAGUGCCAAAAGGACAUAUACAUUAUUCUGAAAAGUUAGUAGGUAAAGGUAAAAGGUAAUGAAUAUAAGCAAAAAGAAAAGAGACCAAUAAUACAAUGUUCAAAAGAUGUGAAGUUUCAGAAUUAUUCUUUGUAUGGUAGUUAGGACCAAAUACAUUUUUGUAGUUUUGGUGUGUAAGACAAAAUUGCACCAUCAUUGCUCUUUGGCUUUCAUUCCCCACAAGCUUUAUUUUUUUUGAAUCAAAAGAUGGGUAUAAAAUGGUCAAGUUAUGCAAUGAAUGAGGAUUUUGACUAAAUAUUGAAGUCUUUUUAAGUUUAAUGCCUACUGCAGAGAAAAAAAUUACUAGUUUUAGCAUUACAUGAUUAAAAGAAAUAAAGAAAAAGAUGACCCAAUCCAGCAAAAAGGCUGUUUUCUAUUUUUUGGUUAGCAUUGGAGCUGUCUAAUGUUAGGCUGUAAACCAAAGAAAAAGAGAGAAAAGGCAAAUAAUUAUCUUGGUGGGGUGAAUCCCAAUAGUUCAUAAAUCAUUCAACAAUAUGUGAAAAGGGUUUGCUCCAAAAUAUAAAAAACUAAUCUCUUUAAAAAAAUUUAGGGUUAUUUAAUCUCAGUCAAAUUUGAAAGUAAGCAAUUAAGGAUAAUUUAUCACGACGUUAAUGUCUUUCGUCAAUUAAUAUGCAUAAUUUUGAUUAAUAUAAUAACAAAUCUAACCCCUCGAUGUUUACAUAUUUAUUAAUUUAGUCUUGAUUCUAAAAAUUCAACAAAUUUACCCUCACCAUUUACACAUUUAUAAAAAUAUUGUGGGCUAAAUUCGUUAAAUCAUGACCAAAUUGAUAGAAUUUGUAAAUUAUGAGAGUUAAAUUUGUUAUUAUACUAGUCAAAUUUAUGUAAAAUUGAUGAAAAAUAUUAAUGUUGUGAUUAAUUGUCCUUAGUUGCUCACUUUCAAAAUAAACAAAGAUUAAAUUGCUUUAAUUUUUUUAAAGGACCAAUUUACUCAAUCUCGAAAUUGAGAUGAACUGAAAAGGUUUUUUUACUACAAAUAUAAUAAGUUUUUACAGGGUGUCAACUAUGAUGAGAUCUUUUACUAUGUGAUAUGUAUGAUUCAAAUUGUUCUUAACUUUUAGAUAAUAAUAAAAAAAGAGUAUAACGAAGUUCUAUCAACCAUCGAUGAUAUCAAAUGAAUAACUCUCUUUUUACCAUCAACUAGUUGAAUCAGUUAUCACGAUUUAAUUAAUUGAGUGCAUAAUAAUACGGAUUAUUUUUCGACAAAAUCUCAUUUUACUCACUUUUGAUCGAAUAAAUUUAAAUAAUUUGAUUAAUAAGAAUGAUAAAUACUCUCAUAAUAAAAGCUGUAAAAACAACCAGUUUUUCAAUUUCCUAUGCAAAUGAUGUAAGGGGGGAGAGAAUCUGUGAAAGUAGAGGAAAAUGUAUGAGAGUUGACAGAAAGCUCAUUACCUCAGCAAACAACAGCUCUCUUCUCCAACUAAGUUGGCCCAAUACAAAAGGUGCUUUGCAUCCUUUGCCUUUUCACAGCUUUUUCUUAUAUCUGUGAACCCUUAUUGAGAGACUUUCUAUGCCUGUGAAAUUUUACUCGAACUCACCACGUUGCAACUCCACUUCUG